rnacentral:rRNA from 1 species
UCCAGACUCCUACGGGAGGCAGCAGUGGGGAAUAUUGGACAAUGGGGGGAACCCUGAUCCAGCGACGCCGCGUGAGUGAAGAAGUAUUUCGGUAUGUAAAGCUCUAUCAGCAGGGAAGAAAGAAAUGACGGUACCUGACCAAGAAGCCCCGGCUAACUACGUGCCAGCAGCCGCGGUAAUACGUAGGGGGCGAGCGUUAUCCGGAUUCACUGGGCGUAAAGGGAGCGCAGGCGGCACGGCAAGUCCGGUGUGAAAGCCCGGGGCCCAACCCCGGGACUGCCCUUGGAACUGCAUGGCUGGAGUGCGGGAGGGGCAGGCGGAAUUCCUGGUGUAGCGGUGAAAUGCGUAGAUAUCAGGAGGAACACCGGCGGCGAAGGCGGCCUGCUGGACCGCGACUGACGUUGAGGCUCGAAAGCGUGGGGAGCGAACAGGAUUAGAUACCCCUGUA